rnacentral:rRNA from 1 species
GAUUGAACGCUGGCGGCAUGCCUUACCCAUGCAAGUCGAACGGUAACAGGUCUUCGGAUGCUGACGAGUGGCGAACGGGUGAGUAAUACAUCGGAACGUGCCCGAUCGUGGGGGAUAACGAGGCGAAAGCUUUGCUAAUACCGCAUACGAUCUACGGAUGAAAGCGGGGGAUCUUCGGACCUCGCGCGGACGGAGCGGCCGAUGGCAGAUUAGGUAGUUGGUGGGAUAAAAGCUUACCAAGCCGACGAUCUGUAGCUGGUCUGAGAGGAUGAUCAGCCACACUGGGACUGAGACACGGCCCAGACUCCUACGGGAGGCAGCAGUGGGGAAUUUUGGACAAUGGGCGAAAGCCUGAUCCAGCCAUGCCGCGUGCAGGAUGAAGGCCUUCGGGUUGUAAACUGCUUUUGUACGGAACGAAAAGCCUCUUUCUAAUAAAGAGAGGUCAUGACGGUACCGUAAGAAUAAGCACCGGCUAACUACGUG